rnacentral:sRNA from 1 species
UAUCCUGCCCUACGGGGAAGGAUGAGAAGCUUCGACUAAGGUUCGACUCGAGCGCCAGCGAGAAAACGUUGCCGCAGGCAACGGCCCGAAGGGCGAGGCGCUUUAGCGCCGAGUAAUCCUUCCCCCACCACCA